UGGCGAACGGGUGAGUAACACGUAAGNAACCUGCCUUUAAGACGAGGAUAACAACCGGAAACGUUCUAAGACUGGAUAGGAAACAAAAAGGCAUCUUUUUGUUUUUAAAAGACCUUCUUACGAAGGUAUGCUUAAAGAGGGGCUUGCGCCACAUUAGUUAGUUGGUAGAGUAAAAGCCUACCAAGACGAUGAUGUGUAGCUGGACUGAGAGGUUGAACAGCCACAUUGGGACUGAGACACGGCCCAAACUCCUACGGGAGGCAGCAGUAGGGAAUUUUCGGCAAUGGAGGAAACUCUGACCGAGCAACGCCGCGUGAACGAUGAAGUAUUUCGGUAUGUAAAGUUCUUUUAUUGAAGAAGAAAAAGUAGUGGAAAAACUAUAUUGACGUUAUUCAAUGAAUAAGCCCCGGCUAACUAUGUGCCAGCACCCGCGGUAAGACAUAGGGGGCGAGCGUUAUCCGGAAUUAUUGGGCGUAAAGGGUGCGUAGGCUGUUAGAUAAGUCUAUAAUUUAAUUUCAGUGCUUAACGCUGUCUUGUUAUAGAAACUGUCUUGACUAGAGUGAGAUAGAGGCAAGCGGAAUUCCAUGUGUAGCGGUAAAAUGUGUAAAUAUAUGGAGGAACACCAGAAGCGUAGGCGGCUUGCUGGGUCUUUACUGACGCUGAGGCACGAAAGCGUGGGUAGCAAACAGGAUUANNNNNNNNNNNNNNNNNNNNNNNNNNNNNNNNNNNNNNNUCGGGGUAAAACUCGGUACUGAAGUUAACACAUUAAGUACUCCGCCUGAGUAGUACGUACGCAAGUAUGAAACUUAAAGGAAUUGACGGGACUCCGCACAAGCGGUGGAUCAUGUUGUUUAAUUCGAAGAUACACGAAAAAUCUUACCAGGUCUUGACAUACUCUGCAAAGCUAUAGAAAUAUAGUGGAGGUUAUCAGAGAUACAGGUGGUGCAUGGUUGUCGUCAGUUCGUGUCGUGAGAUGUUAGGUUAAGUCCUAAAACGAGCGCAACCCUUGUCGUUAAUUGCCAGCACGUAAUGGUGGGGACUUUAACGAGACUGCCAAUUAAAAAUUGGAGGAAGGUGAGGAUUACGUCAAAUCAUCAUGCCCCUUAUGAUCUGGGCUACAAACGUGAUACAAUGGCUGUGACAAAGAGUAGCUGAAACGCGAGUUUUUAGCCAAUCUCAAAAAAGCAGUCUCAGUUCGGAUUGAAGUCUGUAACUCGACUUCAUGAAGUUGGAAUCGCUAGUAAUCGCGAAUCAGCAUGUCGCGGUGAAUACGUUCUCGGGGUUUGUACACACCGCCCGUCAAACCACGUUUGUUAGCAAUACCCAAAAGCAGUAGCUUAACUUCGCAAGAAGAGGGAACUGUCUAAGGUAGGGUUGAUGAUUGGGGUUAAGUCGUAACAAGGUAUCCCUACCGGAAGGUGGGGAUGGAU
rnacentral:rRNA from 1 species